rnacentral:lncRNA from 1 species
GCGAAACCCACUUAAAAUGUGGAUUGAAAUUGAAAUCGAAUCGAAGGGAGAGCGAUUGUUCCAACCCUAGAAUCAGUCUGAAAUUGAAGCUCUUUAAGUAUCGAUGAGGUUUGAUUUCAGUGGAUUUGAUUGUGUGUGGUUUCUUCAUUCUUCAGUCGUAUCGAGGAUCAAUUAGAGUGAUUUCAAUUUAGUCUAUGCGGCUUCUUCUCUCAUAUUUAGGCUAUGCGGCUUCUUCUCUCACAGUCAUCGUGUGUGCUAUUGGUUUCAAUGGCGGCCAAAAGAUUUCUUCCCUCGCAGAUUUCUUGAGUUUUGAUCAGAAUUCACAUUUACUUCAUUGUUUAAGGUACAUUGAGAUAGUUCACUUGUCUUUCGCAGGUUUUUGGAAUUGUGUAAUCUGGAAUCAGCUAGAAUGAUCUUCAAGGCAAUCUCAUACAUGUCAUGACUCUUGUUGGAAUAUAAAAAGGAUAAAUGGGAUAAUUUUCAUCACAAAAAGCUUACAAAUGUCACAUCUUUAUGCAGAAAAGAAGAGUUCAUUGUUUUGAGCAGAAGAAAGUAGAAAGAAAUACAAAAGCAGAACGAAUUUAGAUUACGGGGAAUGUUGUUCUUCCUCACUCUCACUUGCCUAUGAUGAGUUUGGCUCUGGCAUCUCCUUUGUUGAUCUGGAACUGAUCUGUUAGUCCGAAGUGAGCCAUUAGAAGCCACACGAAGUUUAUGAGCUCUCCGCCUCUGCUGAGUUGCUCCACGUGAGCCGUAGAGUCGCAAUGACAGGCUGCAUAACAGAGAAGUUCCACCCACACUUUACUCAGUAUCUCCCAUUUAUCUUUGUUGUGUGUCUUCUCCAUCUCUGCAAGGUCUUUGGCUAGCCUGCUCGCGUCAAACAAUACAGACUUGCUUCGAUCUCCCUUCACUCCCAUUGGUUCAAUUUCACUUUCGACGUCCAGAAUAUUUAGGGUGGCUGUCUCCACGCUUCUAUCGUUCUCGAUAUGCCUCCUCUGGAAGAACUUGUGAGUUUCAGCCAAUGUGUCUCUGAAUCUGAUCUUCCCAAUUCCAGCAACCUCGGACAUCAGACCGGGUUGCAAGAUCAGGAGAUACAUCAUGUAGUCUGAGAUGAUUUUGCUGAACUCGCGGUUACUGUAAUGCUUGCGUUGUUCAUCAUAACCCUCUGGGAUAGUCUCUUUCUCAUGUUGUUGGUAACAGAGCUCGGUUGCGAUGUGCCACAUCAAAAGACUCUGAUCAUAAUCGACCUUUGUGACAUAGCGUACCAGUUUUUCACGUUCUGCAUCCACCGGCAGGUUCUCUCUUAAAGUCCAUUCUCCCCGAGCCAAAGAUAUCCUCUUGGCAUUUUCAGGACUGUCUCCAUACUUUGAUUUGUUUUUCAGCUCUUCGAAGAUGAACUUCCACAAUUCUCUCGUCAUGGGCUCUCCAUGUACAAAUAGUGUCUUGUGGACCAUAUCAAGCGUAUCCGAGAUGUCAAAGAACUCACUGAGGAUAUCCCACACUGAUUUGAUGAAGUGAGGGAUGCGGGAUAUGAACUCGAAAUAGAUAGGGUAAAGAAAACGACGAGCCCAAAGAUGCUUUCUUGAUAACGCAUUGACUUCGUGGCUGAUCCGUCUGUGCACUUCAUUGAUCAACUUGACAAUCGAUCCAAAAAUUUUCUUUAUGACGAAGUUGAGUUUUUUGAAUGGAAAAGUUAUGAUCUUCCAUGAGUAGCGGCGGAAACUACCUCUGGCGUCGUGGAUCCUCUCUACAUCUGCUUUUGUGGCGUACGCUAUAAAGUUAAAAACGUUGAUGCUUCCACUCCACCUCCGAAGGAAGAAACGCGUUGUGAGAACGUCAUGCUUAUCUACCAAUGAACACUUAUCAGCAGCUUCCUUCUUAUCGUCACCUUCCUUCUUAUUGCCACCUUCAUUCUUAUUGCCACCUUCCUUCUUAUCAGCACCUUUCAUGAUACACGGUUUCAAACCUUCUUUGGUACACUUAUGCAUACCAGUCUUGUGGCACUCUUGCGGCGUCCAACGCAGCUUUCUGAAUUUAAGUAACCAGUUAAAACAUCUCUCUUGCCAUGAUUGAAGCUCAUCCGGAUCGUCCUUCAAACUACUGUAUGCAGCACAUGUCCAGUCUGAGAACAGGAACAAAAGGAUGGAUAUGAAAUCCAAAACUAGGCCAACUGCAAACAGCGUAUAAGUAACUACGACAUCAGCUCCAUGAAAAUCUGUGCCUUUGUUAGGUUUCUUAUGAAAAAUGAUGAAUGCAGCCACAAGGGUACCAGAAGCAAAGACCCGUGAGACAGUUCCAAUACCGGUAUGAAGAAUCGCGAUCUUGGUGAAUAGAGCAUCAUAGAGAAAGCCGAGCUCAAUCUCAAUGAUCCUCAAAGCUUCCUCUGGAUCAUUUAAAUUCUCAAAGAUCUCUAGGCUCUCGUCACGCUCCCUGAAGCUGAAGAUAAGGUUGACUACAAGGCCCUUGAAUGUGUUGAAGAAUUUGCUCAUCAAUCAGAACGAUCUUGGUGGGAAGUCUUGCCUCUUUCUUGGCCUUGUACUCCUCCAUGAGCUUGGCGUAGUUUGGUCCUGGAUCUGGUGCUUGAAUCAUAGAGUCCCUAAACUUGUCCAAACUUGCACUAUACAGAGCCGUUGUCCUCUCCAGAUACUUUAUAGUCCCAGAAACAAACACUAAGACUAUAACCACCCAAAGGCUAUUGGGCAGAGACAUGACAACCACAUAGACACCAGCAAUUGCCUGAAAGACAAGCCCAAAGACAUGUCGUAGCCAGAGAGCGUUAUCUUCAAGCGCGAAAGCUGUGAUAGUGUCUGGUCCACCAAGAUGCAAGAGCAAGAAUGGUGCCCAUAAAGCCAUUACCUUUUUGUCCUGUGGAGGGUCAUCAGGUUUGAGAUCUUUACCUUGAUUCUUGGAGAUAAGACCAACAGCGAAAUUAGCAGACCAAUCUGCUAAGAGAUAAGAGGACCAAACAAGCACGAUCAAGAGCCUUCUUGGUGUACGUUUCCUUAGAGGAGAGAAGCAAAUGAGAAUGGCUUGAAGGAAGCUCUCACUGGAGCGAGAAGAAAGACGACUCUGCAACUCAGAGUUCAGGACUAAAUCGAGAUUCUUGGUUGCAUCACUUCUGAGAUUCUGAAGUUUUUCUCUGGUCGGAUGAUGUUCACUAUUGCUGCUUCAUAAUGGUGGAUUCAAAGAGGGACAGAAGAAGGACAUGAGUUACAACAAUGCAGAUGAUUCAAGAACAGAUUGUUUUGCUGGCAAACAGUUGAAGACUACUCUUUGAAACAAAACAAAAAAAACACAAUGGAAGCAAAUGAGGGAAACUAAUCAAUUGCUGCUACUUUCGUUGCUUAUUGGAUGAUGAUCACUUGCCUAUAAUCAGUUUGGCUCUGGCAUCUCCUUGGUUGAUUUGGAAUUGGUCUCCUAGUCCAAAAUGAGCCAUCAAUAGCCAAACAAAGCUUAUGAGUUCUCCUCCUUUGCUUAGCUGAGCUGCGUGUUCUAUAGCGCCACACUUUGUCGCUGCAUACGAAAGCAACUCAACCCACACUUGGCUCAUUAUUUUCCACAUCUCUGAGUCGUCCUCCUUAUUCUUUCUUAAACCCUUAAGCUCUUUCGCCAGCAUGGCCCCAUCAAACAGGACGGAUUUGCUUCUAUCUCCUUUCACGUCAAUGGGCUCAGCUUUUGCUGGAACUGCCACUGAUAAAAUUGCCACGCUGGCUUCCUUUGCAUCAGGGGCCUUCUUUGCGGAUAUCCCCAUGAUAUGCCUCCUAUCGAAGAACCUCUGAGCCUCCUCGCACGUGUCUCUGAAUCUUAUCUUUCCAAUACCCACAACAGCUGACAUCAGAGUGGGUUGCAUCAUUAGGAGAUACAUCAUGUAGUCUGACAGGAUUUUACUGAACUCACGGGCGCUAUGAUUCGCUUUAGUGCCUUUUUUUGUCUGGUAUAAGAGCUCAGUGGCUAUAUGCCAUACAAGAAGGCUCUGAUCGUAAUCCAUUUCCAUCACAUAGCGUAGAAGUUUCUCACGUUUUUUUUCUGUUUCUGGGUCACCUUGUAUGUCGCGCAGUGUCCAGUCACCUCUUGCUGAAGAUACCCUCAUGGCGCUUUCAGAGUCGUCAGCGAAACGGGAUUUGGCUUUAACCUCUCCGAAUAUGUGUUCCCACAUAUCCAGGGUGAGACGAUCACUAGAUGUGUAGAUCACCUCAUCUAGCUGAGCUCGGAUGCCAAAGAACUCCAUAAAACUUUUUAUCCAGCGUCCAGGUAGACUAGGAAUGUAAAAUAUGCAGAAGAAGCUAAACCUAAUGUACUCUUCAUUCAACUUCGGGUAUUUCUUGCAUAAACGACUUACUUUACCGUCAAUCCACUUGAAAGUCUGAUGAAUUCUCUGUUUUGUGACUCUAAAACAGGAUUCAAUGACACUUCCAAGUUUUGUGAAUGCGGGGCCAAUGUAAAGUAUGUUGAUAACCUUGUCAAAGGCGAUGUGUAUGAAACCCUUGGUAUGGUGGAUUCGCUUCGGUUUUAAACCUAGGCAGUAUUCGAUCAGGUUGUGUGCAUGUACAUACUCAGACCACCGGCGAUACAUGAAACUCGUGUCGAGCACUUUAUGACAUGGUAUUGUCUUGGCACUCUUGUCGGGCACUUCCUGACCUGGUAUUUUGCUGGUACUCUUGUCGAGAACUUCAUGAGACUUCUCUGUCUUCAACUCCCUCACCCUGAGAAUCCUGUUAAGAAUCCUUUUAAGAAAUGGUGUUUUCUUAGUACUCGUGUUGGGCACUUCAUGAGACUGUGUAUUCUUGUAGCAUUCAUCAUACUCCUCCACCUUCAAUUUCCUGACCCCGAGAAUGUUUUCAAGAAUCCAGUUAAGAAUGUUGUCGGACCAGGUGGGUGGAUCGUCCACUUCGUCCUUCAUCUUCCUCAAUCUGACAAACGUCCAAUCAGAUGCACAGAACAUGAUAAGAGCGAUGCAAUCCAGAGCUAUUCCUCCUAACAGCAAUGCGUAAGUAAGGCCAACAUCAAAUCCACUAUAAUCUUUCUUGCUCUUGUAUUGAAAGAUGCGUAGAGCUGCUGCAAGGCAUCCCAGGGCAAUGAACCUGAAGAGGAAUCCUAUCCAGUUGUGCAAGAUCUCGGCUUUCGUGUAUAGAGCUGCGUAGAUAAAGUUGAGCUCAACCUCUAAGAUUCUUAAAGCUUCUUCUGCUUUCAGCGAGUCAAAGAAUCUCUUGCUCUCAGCUCGUUGUUGAAAUGUAAAGAUGAGAUCAACCACAAGACCUUUGAAGAUAUUAAAGUACUUGUAGGCGUACUGGAGAAUAUUGAGUGGAGUGAACCCGUCAGGAGGCUUUACCGGAGCAUCGUCUCUUGGAUCUUUCUCAGGCUCGCCAACCUUGAUAAUCUGUGUAGGCAUCUUCAUAUCUUUCUUGGCUGCGUAUUCCUCCAUGAGCUUUGCGUAGUUUGGUCCAGGAUCAGGCCGCUGAAUCAUGGAAUCUUUGAACUUGUCAAGACUCGCCAGGUACAAAGCUAAUGUCCUCUCGACAUACUUGAUCACCCCGGUCGCAAACACCAGCAAAAUAGGUUUCCAAAGAGCAUUGGGUAACGACUGCAAAAGCACGUAAACGGUUGCAACUGAUUGAAAGAAAAGACCCAACAAGUGCCUGAGCCAGAGCUCGUUAUCUUCAAGGGCAAGGGCAGUGAUUGUAUCUGGACCACCGAGAUGCAAGAGCAAGAAAGGAACCCAGAAAGCAAACAACUCGGCGCUCUUUUUCGGUUCUCCGGGUUCUGGAUCAUCUCCUUGACUAUCUGAGAUUUGUCCGGCGGCGAAAUUGGCAGACCAAUCAGCAAGAAGGUAAGCUGACCAAAUGAAAGAGAGUAAAACUUUUCUGGAUGAGCGUUUUCUUUGAGGUGCAAAGAAAAUGAGAAAUGUUUGAAGGCUGAGACUGAAGAUUAAGGUACUUCGAAUGCUCCAUUCGUCCCAAAUGUCCUUGAUAGGCUUUGGGAUUGCGUUCACCAUCUUGAAACUGAUUUGCUGAAACAGACAAGAACUGAUGGUUUAUGAGAUCUAACACAGAUACAUCUAAAGAGGUUGACUUCUUUCUUUUUCUGGUUUUACUAUGAGUUUUUUUGCUUUUGAGGCUUUUUGUUGUGUGUGAAGGUUUGAAUUAUUCUGGUUGGACAGCCAUUGGAGGCUACUUGGAGACCUUGAGAUUUCUCCGUUUUUCCUUGAAU